UAUCUGCAGCAACCACAUCUUUGUCUUUUUGCUGUCCGAGACAUUAAACCAGGAGAAGAGAUUACUUACAGCUAUGGAGACUGGGAUUGGCAAGCCAAGCGUUCAUCACCUGCUCCUGUGACUGCUACAUCAUCCUCAUCCUCAUCCUCACCUGUGAGGAAAAGUUCAUCACCUGCCCCUGUUACUGCUACAUCAUCCUCAUCCUCAUCUGUGAGGAAAAGUUCAUCACCUGCCCCUGUGACUGCUACAUCAUCCUCAUCCUCAACUGUGAGGAAACGUUCAUCACCUGCCCCUGUGACUGCUACAUCAUCCUCAUCCUCACCUGUGAGGAAAAGUUCAUCACCUGCCCCUGUGACUGCUACAUCAUCCUCAUCCUCACCUGUGAGGAAACGUUCAUCACCUGCCCCUGUGACUGCUACAUCAUCCUCAUCCUCACCUGUGAGGAAAAGUUCAUCAUCUGCCCCUGUGACUGCUACAUCAUCCUCAUCCUCACCUGUGAGGAAACGUUCAUCACCUACCCCUGUGACUGCUACAUCAUCCUCAUCCUCACCUGUGAGGCAGCGUUCAUCAUCUGCCCCUGUUACUGCUACAUCAUCCUCAUCCUCAUCCUCACCUGUGAGGAAAAGUUCAUCACCUGCUCGUGUGACUGCUACAUCAUCUUCAUCCUCACCUGUGAGGAAAAGUUCAUCACCUGCCCCUGUGACUGCUACAUCAUCCUCAUCCUCACCUGUGAGGAAAAGUUCAUCACCUGCCCCUGUGACUGCUACAUCAUCCUCAUCCUCACCUGUGAGGAAACGUUCAUCACCUGCUCCUGUUACUGCUACAUCAUCCUCAUCCUCACCUGUGAGGAAAAGUUCAUCACCUGCCCCUGUGACUGCUACAUCAUCCUCAUCCUCACCUGUGAGGCAGCGUUCAUCAAGAAAAAGACAGCAGGAGAGGUUUCAGUCAAGAUUGGUCAAACUACGGGAACAUCAUAACAAUUGCUCCAAGCGCUUCAAUAGAGCAGAAGUUGAAAAAACCAACAGAACAAAAAAGACUGCCAUACUUGAGGAUUGCGUUCUCUAGGUUUUCGUCGGUCGAGAGGGAGCUGCUGUUGUAGUGGAGUAUUGUUGUCAUUGCCCCCAAAAACAAAAGAAAGGAAAACUGCUCUUGACUGAAUCACUUAUUAACUUAAAUAAGAAUCAUCUAUAUUUAAUGUAUAGAGUGAAGAUUAUUUUUACAUUAAUUACUUCAUAAAAAUAUCUGUAGUAGGCUAUUUUUAGAAGCCUUUACUUGGCUACUAUCUGAAAAGAAAACUAUUUAAUUUGUAUUUGUGAGUAAUAUAUUCAUAUAUCAUUUAGCUUGUAAGUAAUAUUUAGUGUUUAAUUGCCUUCA
ensembl:lncRNA